rnacentral:rRNA from 1 species
GAUGAACGCUGGCGGCGUGCCUAAUACAUGCAAGUCGAGCGAACAGACGAGGAGCUUGCUCCUCUGACGUUAGCGGCGGACGGGUGAGUAACACGUGGAUAACCUACCUAUAAGACUGGGAUAACUUCGGGAAACCGGAGCUAAUACCGGAUAAUAUAUUGAACCGCAUGGUUCAAUAGUGAAAGACGGUUUUGCUGUCACUUAUAGAUGGAUCCGCGCCGCAUUAGCUAGUUGGUAAGGUAACGGCUUACCAAGGCAACGAUGCGUAGCCGACCUGAGAGGGUGAUCGGCCACACUGGAAGUGAGACACGGUCCAGACUCCUACGGGAGGACGCAGUAGGGAAUCUUCCGCAAUGGGCGAAAGCCUGACGGAGCAACGCCGCGUGAGUGAUGAAGGUCUUCGGAUCGUAAAACUCUGUUAUUAGGGAAGAACAAAUGUGUAAGUAACUAUGCACGUCUUGACGGUACCUAAUCAGAAAGCCACGGCUAACUACGUG